ACAUUGGUUCGAAGGAGUAAUCCAGUACUCACACUAACAAAGAAACAUAUAAGAGAUCAUAACAUAAGAUAUUCGUAGGUAGCGAUUACAUGUUAGUAGAUUGCUCUACUAAACUAUUUAGUACUUCCACUAGAAUCAUGGAGCCCUUUAUUAGGAGGCGCCUAGUAAAAACCCUACGAAUGAAGAGAAACACAAAUGAUGUGGAAUAUUGUGAAACAAAGAGACUAGAAGUGGUGUUGGGCUCCGAUUCUUGCUUGUUUGAAAUUGAAAUUUAGUGGUAUCCGCCUUUGCCGCCUCCGGAUCCGCUACCUCCACCAUUGCCAGACCCGCCGUUGUAGCUGCCGCCCGUGCCCCCACCCUUUCCACCACCGAAUCCGGUGGCAUAACCUUGACCAAAGGAGCCAGUGCUACCAGUAUGCCCGCCCCCAAAGCCAGAACCAGAACCAACUCCCAUGCUUGGACCUUGAGCUACACCUCCACCUUGGCCACCACCGUUGCCGCUACCCCCUCCACUGGCAUUGCCUCCGGAAGUGUCAUCGCUGGCCGCCUGUCCACCUCCAGCGCCAUUACCACCUCCAUUUCCUCCAUCACCGCCACCACCGCCAGUACCACUACCUCCAGCAUCAGAGUAGCUGGCACCACCAGCAGAAGGAGCUGGUGCGGUUGCUAUGCCACUCUCACCGUAUCCUUCGCCGGCACCAUCUCCGGCUCCAGACCCGCUUGACCCAUCUGCACCAGCACCUCCACCACCGCCCCCACCCUGACCAUCAGCAUUGGCGUACCCAUUGCCACUAGGGGCUGAUGCCGAUCCACUCGAACCGACACCGUUUCCACCACCAGAGCCGGAACCAGACCCGGCCCCGCCUUGAGAACCACCGCCAGCACCGUUUCCUCCUCCUCCACCUGCUCCCUUGGCAACGUAAUUCUUAUUGGAAUCUCCACCACUCUCACCACCAUAUCCCAAGCCACCGCCUCCUCCGGACCCUUCACCCCAUCCACUCCCAACCCCACCCGACGAGCUGCCACCGCCUCCGCCUCCCCCGCCUCCACCCCCAGCACUAGAGGAACUAGCCAGCAUCCUCGAAGCAUCGGUGAAUCCAAUGCUCACGAGGACAACAAAGCCAAGAGCUACAAGCUUAGUGCUAGCAGCCAUUGUGAGUGAGCUCGGGGGAGUGUGUGAUGAGUUGCGUGUUGAAAGCAGACUGGGUUGCGUCGGUAUAUAUAGUGGAGGCCGUGCAUGGGUGAUUGAUGAUGAGUGUUGGAUCUCACACGCGGAAGGCGCGCACGCUUUGUGUUGUGAACUGACAUAGUGAACCGAUGACAAGUUCUCUAAUCACGUACGGUAGCAUGCACGUGGAGUAUUUACUUAAUCGGUAAUUAGUUGAUUAGAACUGGUCAGCUGUAGAAGCGUCUGAAGAUAAGUACUGACGCAUCGUUGAGAUUACAUCUCUGGCAAGUAGCAUCCAGAUUAACAAAUUGUUUUCUCUCCACCACAUGAAAUUAAGAACGUCAGUUGCCUUUACUCGAUACGCACGCAUGAACUGGAAGCCGUAGAUCACAGGUAAUCCUUUGACAUUGCACUUAAUGAAUGCUACUUGACCAUUAUCAAUCAUGAACACCGCGGAUCUAUAAAAAAGGAGAACGAAAACAUACGUAAAGUAAGUGUACUUACCGUACGUAAGGCAUUGUCUCUUACUUUUUUUUUCUGCGGGGCAUGUCUCUUACUGUUAAUUACCAACAGAAAAUGACUAGUGACUCACCUAAUCGUAAUAAGCAUUAACACUAGUACUCCUAGUCCUAGAAGCACAUGAGCUUGGCAUGCGGAAGAUGAGCCGAGCUCUGACCCGCCGUCUGACGUCGUUCUUCGUCGUCGUCGGUGCAUGCAGUUUGAGAAAGGCUUCAACUAGCUCCUACUAGCUGUAGCCGCUAGGCGAGUAGAGUUGACCUACGAAGGAGAGGGUUGACCUAGAUUUAUUGCACACUACUCCUAGGGUUUAAAGCUAACAGCGGCGACCUAGGGUUUAACGCGCCCUCGAGGUUCAGAAAUUUGACCACGUAGUGUAAGCACACAGACAGGAACACACUUGGAGAGUUGGAGUAUGCUAUCUUUGGGAUCGUUAUGGCGACGCAAACACCGAGAGUUGACCUACCCCAGGCUUAGGACUCGGUAUUCGAUUCUCCAGCUGCCAUCUUAACUAGGAGUAGCAGGCCAUCUUAAUUGACGGGAUCACCGAACAUGUGGUUAAUCCAUUGCCCCUCCAUCGCAUCGCUGGAGACUACCAUCGAUGAAACGUGGCUUAUUGCCGUGCUCUACUUUCGAUAAAGGAAAACAUAUUAAUAUCACGAAGAUAUCAAUUACACCCAACCUCUGCACCAACAAGAUAUCGAAGAGAUCAAGGAUGCACACAGCCAAAAACAAAAAUUAAAAAGAGAGAAAAAUAAAAACAAAGACCCCAUCGCAGUAAUGAAACACUCGUAACAAUAACACUCUAAACACCACAAAAAGUCAACCCCCGGACAACAGAAGAGGUUCUUCAAAAGCGACGCCUUCAAGAAAGAAACAAUGCGCAAGCGUUGUCGUCGCCCGAUCAAAGAUCUUGAGUCUUCGCCCUGGAGAGAGUCCGAGAUCCCAAAAACAAUGCCUUCGCAAGACCAUUGCCAGGUACAACCAAUGAAGGCCAUGCCUUGGAUUUUUCACCCUAGAGAUCGCGGCUCAGUACUAGAGAAGCACACCAAAAAAUAUUGUCCACCUGUGUUGCCGCCCCUCCUGCCAAGGCCACCGCUGCAAGUGCUCAACACCCGACACACAGGGGAAAAAACGGUGUCGCCAUUCUUCAGCGCAACCAAAACUCCUCUCCGCCAUUACAAGUCUCUGAUCACAUUCAUCAUGACUUUCUUCACCAUUAUCAACGCCGUGGAAAUCUAUACUUAGACAUGUCCCAUGGCACCGGCAAGACAGCGAAGCUUCGCGCCACACCCUCAUAAAGCAUCUCUGGCUGAAGGUGAGGGCGCGCCCGACCGGAUCGAUUUCGAUUUAGAUAUUCAGUGACGCCGUGCGCCACAAGCUGGGAUCUCCGAUAAGAAGACUGGAACUUGUCGGUGUCCGGAUCAAGGAGACCGGCAAGAAGCAGAUCAAAAUUUUGGAGCAGGAAGAACAGCAGGGCCAACCACCGCGGGACUCCCUUGGAUGCCGACACGCCAGAUCUGAGCAGUGAAAUCGGACAAUCAAUGGAGGAGCGGAUCCGAAUCGGAUCGUGGUGCUCACAUGCAAUACGCUGCAAGGAGACGCCAUCAUGGACACCAUCACGGAAGCCACCAGCCGCUGUGCCAUGUAGAUCGAAGGACCAUCGGGCUAGGAGAAAGCUCCAUCGAUGGAAAAGCAGAGGGCCCCGCCGCCAUUGUCUUAGGCAUCCGUGUAGCCUUUGCGUGUGGUCAACCUCUGAUGGCGACGAGAUGGGAGGUCCGAUGGCGGACUGAGAGGCCGGCGGCGCGAGAUCCCCCGAGUCGCCAGACACGAGCGACACGGGGGUCGUUUUAUCGUCUCGUGCUCUAUGACUGGAACCCUCCUUCAAUGUCAUGCCAAUCUUUCUUUCUCGGCGACUCUGAGCUAUUAGAAUAAUCCAAGACACGUCGUCGAUCAUUCAAGGACCUAGCACUCACACGAAGCACGACGCAAAGAUUUGUUAACAUGGUUCAUCAAUAUAUGGCUACAUCUCCGAAGUCUGACUGUGAACGCUUCUCCCCACAUUAUAUAGGAGGUCUAAGAUACAAGAGUCCUACUAGGACACUACUACAAUGUUACCCUUUCCUUCCAAACAUUAGCGCGAAUUGUAUUUUUAUUCUUAUUUAUUUUUGUGAGAGAAAUUAUCAAUCUAUUUAUCAAUCAUGACAGUAGAGAGAACAUAAGAGGUAAUAAAAAUUACAACCAGGUAUAUGGACCACCUAGCGACGACUACAAGCACUGGAGCGAGUCGAAAGCGUGUCUCCAUCAUCGCCCUUCCCUCACCGGAGUCAGGUAAACCUUGUUGUAGACUUGUAGUAGACAGUCGGAAAGUCAUCGUGUUAAGAUUCCAAAGGACCAGUGCACUAGAGCAGCAACCAUCGCCAAUGAAGAGAGUUGAAGAUCGUAAAGAUCAAACCUGUAACCACACAAACGAAGACGAACAAAAAGUGGAUCCAAAUGAAUCCAGCAAAGACCAGCACCGACCGAAUCUCACGAGAUCCGACAAAGACAUACCUUCACACAUCCUCCGAUGACGCUAUUCACACCAUCGGGGCGGGGAUAGGAAUGCUCUCUAAGUAGUCACAUGUCGCGUGUUGUGUAGAACCGUGUAGCAUCUAUAAAGCAAAACCUUGGUACCAAAGCUAGCUUAUUUAUUAACGAGAAUGAAUCAUGCAGCAGCCCCUUACCUUUCUUAGAAAUUCCAUAGUUUCUGGUUAAGCUUAAUCUAGGUUAAAAUCAUCAUAAGUUUAUUGAUAUUUUCUUGAUAGAGUUUCCUGUAGCUCCUUCACAAUAUACCUACACUGCAUCAAUAGUUAGAGAAAACAGAAUGACUAGCUAAUGUGAAAAGUUGUGAUCAUCACUAUUUGUUAUACCCUCUACUUUCAAUAUACUUUUAAAAGUAGCCAUAGAUCUGGAGAAAAUGUCUUUUUGGUGUGGCCUUGCUACCAUUUGCAUUUUUUUAUAUGAUGGUUUAGUGGUCGUCUCUACACCUAUGUGGUCUCAGUGUUGCACUAUAUGUAGGCAUUCAGCUUUAGCAUCAUGUUGGGAUCCAGGAUAGGAACUAAUAAGAUGCAGAUUUGAAUGUAGAGAAGGUAAAUUGCCUUUUCUUAACAGAGAAAGGGACCCCGAAGGAUCCCGAAACUUUAUUCAUAAAAACAUAUUACAACUAUGAUUAUAGUUGGACCCAACGGACACUAGAAAUUACAAAUAAGUCCCUAGACUUUGCAAGAAGGACCCCAAUCUAAGAUACUGAAUCGCAAUUAGGUCCUCAACCUUCUCUCAGCUUCCACCUCGCCAUCACAAGGUUCAGAACCACUUGGGGAGACAAGGCCGACGAAACACAUAGCCACGACCACCGAGAUGACGCUAUGACGCCUCCCUUUAGGCAUUUGGGCCCGGGGGGAAGUUUUGGACGUCUUUCGACCAGAAAAGUCACUAGAUCCGCGAAGAAUGCCCAUCGUUCGCUCUCCAAUGAGCGGUAUAGCUCUGCAUCGAACUCAGGUGUGGAUUGAUGUGUCCAAUUUUUGCGUAAUUUUUAUACCUUUUAUUUUUGCACCUUAGUGUUAGGAUUUUAGGAUUUUACCACGUCCACGCACCCUUUUCUCUUUUUUCACUAGCAUUUCAUCUACGUAGGUAUUUGGGGGCACGAGGAAAGAAUGCCAAGGAUAUGAUGUAAAAAUCAUGUUAAUUGGCACGAUAAAAACCUAUCAUAAAAGGGAGAAGUGGAAUGGAGAAGAAAAAACAAGGUCAGGCUCUAGAGCAAAUGAUGGUGUCCAAUAUGACCACGCGUGCUCGUACUGCUGAUCGUCCCAGCUGUCGUUGCAACCUCCUAGUCCAGUACUUCUACCCUGGGCGAUCGGAUCAAGGUUCAUAUGCCUACAGCCACCACAAACUCAUCCAGAAUGAAGAACCCUAACCUCUAGAAAUGAUCCGGAGGGAGGAUUGAUUGAAGGGUUCCACCGCGACAUCACUCCCAUCGAGGAGGCAUCAAGAUCAUCCAUCUACACCUUCACCAUCCCAUCACCAUUUCUUUGUAAUAAGAUAGACCUUGUGGAUCCAUUUUUAUAUUACAUAGUUUCAUCCAUGUUUAUCACAAUUCAUCAUGUUAUUAGGUAGGAACCCUAGUAUGUUUAGGUACGAAACGAUGAUAGGAUUUUACAUCCUCUUUAUAUGUUAUGUUGAUGAUAUUCUUGAUGGGUGAAGUCGACCAUCCAACAUAUGCCUCUUUUGGAUGAAAGGUCAUUACUAUUUGUGUGAAGGUGAGUUUGUGGAGCUUUGUACUGACAGUACCUAUUUCCCUCCUUCCUUGGUCAUUGCAAUAGGGGAUCAACGGAGACCGCCUUCAGCUGCGUCCAUGAGAAAACCCUUAAUCACCAUUCUAAAGCCAGUGUGUGGACAAAAGGUGGUGGUGUAUGUGAUACCGGGUUGUUGCAUGUAUGCACGUAUCUAUGCUUGGCUCCGCCCACUUGUAGAAACAAGUGGCUUGGGAAUCUGAACCUAGAACUAUCCAUUAGCAUAGGUCGCAUUAGAAACAUAAUAGAGGGGAAUCCGGACUCCCCGAGAACGACUUAGCCUAUUGAGUCCAAACUACCAUAAUUCCGUGAUUGCAUAUUUUUAUUUUAAUCUUGUUCUUUAUUCUGUGUUCACAACUCACUUGUAAUAUUUCAAACUUAUAUUUCCACUUUGCUUUGGACCGCAACUAACUUGCAGGCACAAUAUUAAAAAUAUCAACGAGAGACAAAUUUCAUUUCCUAUGCUCCCUGUGGGAUCGAUACUCUUACUUCAAAGAAGGACAUCAAGGAUACGUGCGACGAUAGCGAGCUACGGAUUUGCAUCCUCCAUCACCAUCUCCAUGACGUCUACACAAAGAAGAUGAAUGAGAGAAGGGGAUCCUCCAGAUCCGGGAACCAACACAGCCCCUCGUCACCACAGAUCGGGGGAACCCUGGACAAGGGCCUCCAAUCUGACUAGCACGAGAUCUCCAACCACCCCUUAUCCGACCGCCAUGGUUGUAGAUGCAUGCAACAGAAGCAAGAGAGGAAGAACCAAAUCAAGUUUAUUUGAGAGGAAAGAAAGCCUACGACUAUAUGAAAGAACAAGAUCUAGGCAUCCCUCCCACUCAACGCUCGCCACCAUGGCCGCCGGCGACCGGGUAUGGGGGGAGCAGCCGGAGCAAAGGAGGAUGGGAGGGAUCAAGGAAGGAGGGGACGAGCGGCACAGAGCCCGUCGCCAUAAAGGGCAAGUCCAAAAGUCUGUCGGUGUCUCACUCCUACGUCAGGCAAGUUGCUUUUCUAUUGUGAAGCAUGCACAAUUAGUAUUCAGCACUAAGGCUUGUCUAAGACAUGUUAUAGCCGGGCGCAGUGGAGCACACCCUUCCAUCUAACAAUAUGUAUCGCCAAUAGCGCUCGCUACGGGUGAAAUCACUCACUAAGGCACUAUUGUGGGUCAGCCCAUUAGCAGUAGAUACGUGCGGGUAGAACGCUACUUUUAGGAAGCUUCUAAAACAUUCCGCCCACUUUUGGGAGAUUUCAAAAGGUUUUUCCCUUUUUUUAUUUUCAUUAUUUACCGGUUUUAUAGAUUUUUCUGUGAUUUUUUCUUUCUUUUUUUCCAGUUUAUUUUCUUUUUUAAUUCACGAGAAUUACUUGAAUUCACGAACAUUUUUUCAAAUUCCAACACUUUUUCAGUCCAUGAAUUUUCAAAUUCAUGAACACUUUCUGAAUUCAUGAACAUUUUUUGAAUUCUUGAUGCUUUUUGAAAUUCAUGGAAAGUUUUUGAAGUGAUGAUUUUUGUGGUUAAAUUCAUGAACAAUUUUCCACUUCAUGAACCUUGUUUAUAAUUCGUGAAUAAAACUUGAAUUCAUGAAAAACAAUUAAGUUCAUGAACAAUUAUCGAAUAUGAACAGGGUUUCAAAUUCGUGAACACUUGGAAAUUCAUUAAAAAAAUACAUUCGUGAACAUUUUCUAAAUAUUGAACAUUUUGAAAAUUCUUGUACAUUUUUUUAAAAUUCACGAACAUUAUUUGAAUUCAUAAAAAAUUGGAUUUAUAAACAUUUUAUUUCAAAUUCGUGAACAUUUUUGUAGCUAACGUUUUUGACCAAUAUUGUAAAUAUUGUAAAAUAUACGAAAACAUACAAACAAAAAAACAAUGUGAAAAAACGAAGGAAAAAAUGCACUUGCUUGUUGGCUGGUUGAUGGAAUCUCGCUUUUUUGCUAGCUAGGCCAGGCUCAUGUAGGAUACCGCUCGACGGUGCGGGAGGUACGCACACGACUUUUUAUUUUAAGGCUAGGCAGGUACGCACGCGAGUUAUGUCUCGUUUAUACUUACAAGCAAAAGGGCUCAUGCGUUUCAAUGGGAGAGAAAAAUUCAUAAUAUUUUGCUGAAUCAUCGAGAUACACUAUCGCUUCCAAUUUCGUCAAAUCAUGAACAAUUUUUUAAAUCAUGAUCAUUUUUUAAACUCAUGCACAUAUUUGAAAUGGUGAACAUUUUUCAAAUUCGUGACCACUUUUACAAAUUUUCGAACAUUUUCAAAAAUAAAGAAUAUUUUUUGAAUUCAUGAACAUUUUAUAAUAUUUGCAAACUUUUCUUAAAAAAUAAUAAUAAAAAUAAGCAUUUUCUUGAAUUGGUGAACAUUUAUAGAAUCGGCAAUGUUUUUUGGAAAUUGCUGGAACAAUUUUUAAAAUUCACGAACGUUUUCUUGAUUUAAUGAGCCUUUUUUUCUUUAAUGAACAGUUUUUGAAAUGCAUGAUCAUUUUUUGAAUUAGCGAAAAAUUUAUGAAUGUAUAAACUAUGUUGUAAGUCUCAGAUUGUUUUUGAAUUUCUAGUAUAUUUUUCCAUUCAUGAACGUGUUUUCCAUUGGCAAAAUUUUGUUCAAUUUCAUUAAGAUUUUUAAAUACAUGAACUUUAUAAAAUCAUAAAUUUUUUUGAUUUCCCAAACAUGUGUUUACAAAAUUUCGAACAUUUUUUGAAUAAGCAAACAUUUAUUUUAAAAAUUGCAAACAUUUUUUGAAUCCAUAAACAUUUUAUUUAAAAAUUCUCAUUUUUUAAAAAAUUGGAACCUUUUGAAUUCCCAAAUUAUUUAAUAUAGGAAAAACAAAAACGAAAAAGAAAAGAAAACAUAAAAUACAAAAUCCUCUAUUUCUAAAUUGCUAGCCGUCACGAACUAUUUCUCUCAACAUGGAAGCAUGCCAGAUCCUCGCAUAACAUGCAUGGAAAAAGGCUCAUCCCCACAUCAUCACACAACAUGCAAACUUGCCACUUCAUCAUAACAUGCAUGAAAAAAAGACCAAUCUCAACAUGCAAACAUACAUGAGAAUUUUCGUUCUAUUAUGCUAUAUAUAUUUAAUAAACCUUUUAGAACUAUAUAUUAAUCAAACAUAAUAAUUAUAUGUAUUUUUAGUUUAAACCUUUUAUAUUAUUAUUCAAAUAUCCAUGUUUCAUUCAAGAAAUCACAUUGAAAUAUGCUGCAAAAUAUGUCCACAACAAGGUGCGGGGUAUCAUCUAGUUUAUAAAAACAGGCCGCCCGGACAUGAGCCGUCCCAUAAAGGGUCCGCUGCGUCUUCUCCCAGCACACGGAGCGCAGUAUAAGAGGUCCCUACUGCAUGGGCAGGCCCAGGGCGAGGAUUUCCCUGUGAGAAUUUUUUUAUCACUUAUAGAUGGCAUUGAUGGGUAAUAUUUUACAAUUUUGGGAGCAAUUUUUGUGACGUACCAUUAGAAACAAUAGCCCCUUUAUUAUUACUAGCAAAAGAGCCCGUGCGUUGCAACGGGAGAAAAAACACAACACACACUCUUAACCGAACAACCAUCACUCAAGACCACAAUAGGUCCAUCUCCUUUAUUUUAGCGACACAUCAUAUUUGUGUUGCCGCUUAUCCUUCUUCCCACCCUCGCCGACGAUGGCCUUAGUGUUCACACAAACCAAAACGUGUUAGAAUGUGGUUAAUCCUAAGACGUCUCUCUCUCCCUCUGUCCUCCCUCUCCCUCUCUCUCGCUUUCUCUCACACUCGCGAUGAGAAAUCUGUUGUUUUCCCCUGCGACGUAUUCAGAGGCAUGCAUGUGUAGUUCUUGAUGUUUUCUUUUCCCUAUAUGAUUAUAGUGGGUGUUUAUUUGCAAUCCGGAUCGCCGCCUGUAUCAAAGAAAAAUGGACCGUGCGCUAUAGUUAUAAGUUUCCUUCCAAAACAAUAUUUAAAAAAUAUUUAACAUGUAAAAUUAACAUCAUAUACAGAUUUCAUGCAUUUUUCUAAUCAAAUUUCAUAUAUAACAUAUUAAAAUCGGAGUUACGUUUUAAAAUAUGCGUAUAAUUUAGAAAGCCAUUUGUUUGAAUUAAAUAUCUUUCAAAAUAAUAUUUAUAAAUACUUAACAGGUUAAAAUAAUCUUAUAUUCAUAUUGUACAUAUUUUUCUAAUCAAAAUUCAUAUAUAACAUGUUUAAAUUGGAGUUACGGUUUAAAAGAUAUGGAUGAUUUAGAAAAACAUUUGUUUGUAUUAAAUAUGAUCCGUGAAUAGAAUACCUAAAUAGUCAAGGGGUUUUUUGAAAAUCUGUAAAAUAACGAUUCGGAGUGACUUAAAUCUGGACUGCGGGUUGAUUUCAUGUAAACGCAGGGGCUUUUUUGCAAAUUGGCGUGACGGACGGGCAGAAACCCUGCGUGCUUUAUUAUUACUAGUACAAAUGCCCGUGUGUUGCACCGGGCGAAAAAUUAAAACCCGCUCCAUGUGCCAUUAUACAACACUUUUUUAAUCCAUGUUUCGCAAACAUCAGAAAUAAGAUCGUCGAUAUUUACCUUGAAAAUGGGAUUUGUGGUCUUUCAUCUUCCCAUGUGGACAACAAAAUACUUCAUGAAGCACAUCAGAAAUAAAUUAACAGUAGAAACUACUUUUAAAUUAGGAUGAGGGACAUGUAAAAGUUGUGCCUCCAAAAACUACAUGUGUGAAAGAUCUGUACUAAUACAUCCACUCUUGCAAGUACUUAGUAUUCACCUAGCAUACCUACAAGAUCUACAUGAUUACCAACUAUACAAAUAUAUGUUUAGAUCUUUGGGUUACUUGUAGUGUGUUCUAACCAAAUACAAUUUUAAGAUGAUAUGCUGCAAUACUUUGUUCUAGUCACCCAUCUGCCGAACUACUAAACAAUCCAGUACAUGUUUUGAUUAGCAAGACAGAAAUAUAUAGAUACUCUUCAAAUUAAACGGAGUCCAUUGAAUAUCAGUAAAUUUGUUGCACAUACAAAUACCUCUGCGUUGCACCGGGCGAAAAAGUAAAACAUGGGCAUGUACUAAGUUGGCUUUACUUUUUUCUGUCUGGGCGUCCACACUCUCAAAGCUGGGUAGUACGUACAGUACUUUAUAUUAGACUGUUUUGUUGUUGCACUUCUGAUCUAGUAGUCGGUUUCCUUUUUAGUUUUGUGAUCAGUAUUAAUCCGCGAAGGACACAAACAUCAAAUCGUCAAACAUAUCUCUCAGCCAACAUGAAAUCGUCAAACACAUCUCUUAGCUGCUUGAGCGCGGAUGUGUUCUCGCCGUCCUCGGGGCCGCCGGAGCGUGUUUGCCUUGAACGCGGAUGUGAGCUUACGGUUUCCUCGACAUCUGCUUGAUGACCCUUUGUCGCGACUCACUUACCUUGAACGCGAACGUGAGCUUACGGUUUCCUCGACAUCUUUUUGAUGACCCUUUUGCCGCAACUCACCGGCGAUGGCAUGUAGGCUCUGCUGCUCGUCGUCACUGGUGCGCCACGGUUGGAGCAGAGGGAGGACAACGGCGCGUGAAGACCGCCAUGGUUGGCAUGGAGGGAGGAAAAAUGGCACGCGAAGACGCCUCGAGGGAGAUAAGGUAGGUCGCUGGAGCACCAAAACAACGCGGCCGCAGUUCUUUGUUUAUUCCCAAUCUUAAUGAAGGGUUGCCACACACUGAGGAAACAGAGCAUCAUCCAGCGGAAGCAACACACAAACCAGGAGGAGGAGCAUAGUUCAUAUCUUCAGAUUGAGGGGAACAUAUUUGUGGAAAUUAAAUAAUAAAAGCACUGCAACUGCUAGUAAACAACAUGAUAAUUUCAAGCAAUACACAUGACCAUCAUCAAGCACAGAAUAAUGUUAAAGAGUACAGGUCUAGAUUUCAUUUCAAGCUAGAAACUCAAAGUCGUUUACUGAGUGGAGUGUAGCAUCUAUAUAUAUGGCUCAAAGUCGUUUACUACCUUUUCCACCCCAAGUUCUCUAGUAGAAAAUAACCAACAGUACAGUUAUACAAAUUACAAUUAGCACAAAUAGAUUCUCAACUAUAUAUAUGGUUAAUCAUCCUUCAUAAUUUUAAGUCUUUACAAUUCAUGUGUGUACCAGUAUCAUUUGAAAAUAGAUCAAACAACACCCUGUGCACUUCAAGUCUUCAACCAUAACAUAAACAAAAAUUUAGUCUGCUGCUACAAGUACAAACAGAAUCCAUAUAUGUAGGAUGGCAUUAUGUGUUGCUUGUCAGUCAAAUGCAGUCUACUGUUGGCAACAGCUAUAUUAGCUACAGUAAACUGACGAAUUGACAAACAGAUGAGACCCAUCAGAUGCUUCAAAAGUACAUGCGGCAAAGUAGGUCUAGGCGAUCGCUGAUGGUCUUCCGGCAGUCCGCAGAGGCGAUGGCAGAUGGCCUUGCUGCAAAGUCAGCGAAGGCGAAGUUGACGGAGACGACGGCUGCAAAGUCGACGGAUACAACAUAUUACAGAGAUGUCAAAACCAAUUAAUCCACUCCACUAAAUACACCUCAUAAUCCUAUUUUGCUAGGUGCAGCAAGCAUAUCUAUGUGUAUGCAAUUAAGCUAUUUGAUAACCGAAGAAAGAGCAGAAUAUAUGAAACUUCAAGAAUUACUCCAGCAUCAUGCCCAAGAAUUACUGUAACCAAGUUGAAGCCACCAUGUUCAGGUAUAUGUAAUCAGCAACAUGAAAUUUCUUGGUUCAAUCCUUGGCUAGUAACAAUACUGAAACAGGAGCUUGUAUCAUAUCAGCCAAACUGAAAUUGUGAACAAUCGGAAGUAGCACCAAUUUUCAGAAAAACUAAACUGAAACAGGCGUAGAUUUAUUCAGUACAUUGGAUUUUGUCUCAGCCAUCAUUUAUUUGAGUGUCUGUCUCUAUAUACUGCAUCUCUGUUUGGCUGCAUGCUCUGGAGAGGAGCAGUAGCUACUCCACUGCACUUUUCUUUGUGUGGCAGCAGAAGCAGAUUAACAUAUUCCACUUGUGUACAAAGGGCAGCAGCAGCAGAUUAACAUUAUAAUUUAUGCUUGUUUGAUGUGUCCGCAGAUUAACAUUAUAAUACUAACUACAACCACCCACCUUGUAUCAGUCUCAGAAUAUGGCCAGCAUGCACACUUAACUCUGAAUCACUUAGCACAGCAAUGGCCCUUUUUUUGGCUAAAAAGUCAGAGAAGGUUAACAAGGCUUUGCACGGCAAUGUGCAUCCCCAAGAGCAACAACUCCCCAUAAGCUACAAUUUGUAUGAAACUCAACUUUUUUGAUUUGUUUUGCGUUUUUAGGAAUCACAAAUAUAUGAUUUUUUUAAAUCUCGACUGAUGAUUGUAACAGCACAAAAGAAUUCAUUGGGGGCAUGCAUAGCCUGUUGGAGGCUCGAACACAAAACCAUGCACUCCCUUUGGUUGUUGGUACAACAUAAUGCAACAUAAUGCAAAUUAUGUAUGACAAUCCAUUAUGCAAAUUACCUAUGAAACUCUGAAUCAACGAAAUUACAAAUAUUGAGCAGGUGUACUGGAUGCAGAGUAGCUAACAGAAGUGUAGCAUCUAUGAAUCUAGUGGAAGCAUUACAGACUUGAAUCAAAUUUCUGAACUCUGAAGAAAGCAGUUAGAAAAUAACUGAAACUUUGCUAAAAACUGUUGAACUAUGUACUGAAUAAAAGAAUAGGUUCGCAAUUCUGUGGCAGACAGAGAAACAGGGGCUACCCUUGAUUUCCUUUGUAGUGAUUUGGCUUUCAAGGGGCUACAUACCUCUGCUGUAGCCGCCGUUGUCGAUAUUGGACGGCUCGACGGAUGUUCUUCUACCUCCGUCGAACUCGGCGUCUCUUCCUCCGGCGAACUCGAAGGCGACAUGUUUUCUGGUCCAAGUACUCCGCGAUUUGAUGGAUUUGCUGGUCCAAGCACGCAACCUGAUGGAGGUUCCGGCCGAGGACCCUUCCUUCUUAUAGGACACGGCACGAAUUCAAUCCAAAUCAUACACGGGGGCAGGAUCUCGGAGAUUGAGAAGCUUACUCGUGGAGGCCGGAGAGGAUUGGCGGGGGCGGGCAGGUCACAGUGGCGCGUGCUCAUGGCCGGUGGCUGAUUUAUGCAGAUUCACAUUCAAAGUGCAGAUUCUCUCUAUAAAUUUUUCGUAUACAUGCCUAACAACUUUUUUGCUACAUGUUGAAUACUUUAAGAAUACAUGUGAACAUUUUUUUAAAGCAUGUUUGGAAUUAUUUUCAAAAACAUGCUAAUAGUUUUCAAAUACACAUUGACCUUUUUUAAUGGUAUUAUAUUUUCUUUAAAUCAAGCUAACAUGUUUUACAUUGUAUAAAGAUUUUUUUAAAGCCAUGAACUUAUAUUUCAAAUGCAUGAACAUUCUUUUCAAUGUCAUGGACACUUUUUUGAAUUGUGCGAAACAUUUUUAAUUACAUCAUUUUUUACAUCGUAUAAAGGAUUUGAAAAUUGUACAAACAUAUUUUUUUAAACCCGUGAAAUUCUUUUUAAUUGUCACUAUCAUUUUUUUAAUGCCAAGAAAUAUUUUCUAAACUACAUGAAGAUUCUUUUUACAUCAUUUAAAUAUUGUUUGAAUGAAAUGGUUAGCUGCUGAAUCACCCUUUUUUGCUAUAGAUCUGAAUCACUCAGAAGUCAUCGGAUGCACAUCGUGCGGUCACACUUUCCGCUGAUCUUUCACACUAAGUGAGGCGUCUAGUAUUUGGGGCAAUAACCACAACAACAAAAAUCAAGUGUUGGGUGCUGAAGUCGAACUCCGGCUUUCAAGGAUUUGGUGCAAAAAUCAAGUGUUGGGUGUUGGAGUCAAACUCCAUGUCUGAAGGAUUGUGGGACAACAACCACUUUGACUAAGCCACUUGUGGCGAUAAACUAACGGGGUGUGUUUUACUUGUAUCCACGCCCAAGGUUGAGCGGUUAUAGAGAGAAAUAAAUGCUAGGCCGCCUAUAGAAUUUGAACUUUAGUUUUUUUUUUGUCGUGUGUUCCACGUGAUGAGAUUUUGUUAUAAAAAACUUUUUUUACACGAUGACUUGAGGACAAGGUGGAUGCCAGUGAUUCUCAAAUAUUCAACAUCUGGUGUCUACCAGUCAUUUGUGGUUCCUUAGUUGAACCAAAAACAACAAAAUUAGACAAACAAUGAUUUUGUUUGUUCUGACCUGGUAUUUUAAUGGACUCUGACCAAAAUAAAGUUGUUGAAAUGUACCCCCGGUAACUUCUGUGUGAUUAACAUGUUAAUUUACGCACCACAGACUUAAUAACUUACGUACAAACACCAUAGUAAUCUUGCCCCCAUGGUAAGAAAAGUUUUUUUGAAACAUACCCUUGAUAAAUUCUAUGUGAAUAGCGCGGAAAUUCAUACAUUGUGAACUAAUAACUUACGUACAAACAUCAUGGUAACUUUGAUCACAGGUAAAACAAGUUCUUGAACAUGUCGUGGUAACUUAUAUGUGAAUAGCGUGGUAAUUUGUGCAUUGUAGAUUUGAAUAACUUACGUACAAACAUCAUGAUAACUUCUGACCUUGGGGUCAAAAAAAGUUGUUGCAAGAUACCCCGUAAACUUCUGUAUAAAUAAUGUGAUAGUUAUGCAUCACAAGCAUGAUAACUUAUGUACAAACAACAUGAUAACUUUUUUGACCCCCGGAGUAAAAAAGUUGUUGAAACAUACCUCGGUAACUUCUAUAUGAAUAGUAUGAUAUUUUAACACCCUAGACUUGAUAACAUAUGUACAACACCAAUGUAACUUUGAUCCAGGAAAAAAAAGUUGUGUCAAACAAAUCCCUGGUAAAUUUUAUGUGAAUAGCAUGGUAAUAUAGGUGUGGCUGGAUCAUGCAAUAAAAAUACGCAGUAGUAGGCCUGAUAAGUUACAUACAACACCAUGGUAAAUGAAAUUCUACAUGAUGUGUUAUAUAUUCUCACUAAAAAUCAUUUAUUGUUUAGCUGGUAACUCGAUUUCUACGGAAGGGGUUAUAUAUUCUAACUGGAAAUCGUUUUGACGUUCAACGCGAUAGUGAAAUAAACAACAACGCAAAGCUUUGUUAAAAAAAUAGGAGCUUAGCCCAGAUGUGUACUCCACUCCGGAUGAGAGCUAAGGUUUGGAGUUUGACUAUAGGCAUCUGUCAUUUUGCCUAUUAAAGAUGCAACAAGAGUCGCCGGAAGGAGCAGUAGUGGUUAGCACAAGGAACGCGAUCUUUGUCUAAUGAAUCGUGAGACGUUUGGCGGCGUCCCUAAAGAUAGAACAUUCGGCGGUUAUGAUACUCAUGUUUCUAAAUGACACAAACUUUUUUAUGAAACGCGUGAAAUGUUAAAAAUGUGACAAACAUUUCUUUUUGAAUGCUAUCAACAUAUUUUAAAAUUUGCAUGAUUAUUUUGUUAACAUUGUAUAAAUAUUUUUUUAAUGUGUGGUGAACAUUUUUAAAUUCUGACUAAGUAAAUUUUGGAAUAUAUAUCAAAAAUAUAAAUAAAGUACAAACAAAAUUAAAAAUAAAUGGGCCAACCAAUUUAGAGGAUCCAUAAAGGUGAGAUGUACUUGUGUCUCGCCGCAGGCUAGACAAAGACGCACCCCCAAAUUUAAAAUAACCUAAAAGUUACCAAAUUGAAUAUAAUGGUAAAACACAAUAAUAUUAAAUAGCAGGAAAAACAAUCACUCAAAAAUCUAUUUUUAUAGUAAAGUUAUUCACAAACUAGUGAUUCACAUAAAUUUCAAAGAAUUCAAAUUUAAACAAUUCAAAUUUGAAAAACUUAUGGCACUAACAGAAAGUUUAUAAUUUUUGUGACAUAAAAGCAAAAAAGAAUCACUGAAAAACUGUAAGUAUUUAGCUAUAAGUAGAAACAAAAGAAAUAAAUAAAGUAAAAAAACAAAACAAAAAAAUUGGAAAAAAAGGCCACCUACUGGACCACCACGGCUUGAAUACGACUAGAAACCCAACCAGCUAGUUGGGCCAGGAUUCAGGCCCGCAGCAGGCCAAGUAGGCCCACAUGCAGAGGAGUGUGAGAUUAGGCCCGUAAGCCUGUAGUUGAGAGGAGCUUGAGAGGGUUGGCGCAGCAGCGCUUAUAAACCACUCUCGAGCCCUCUCAGCUAGCGAGGUGGGACUAAACAUUUGGCCCCGUGCAGUACCCUCCUUUCGUCCCGGUUGGUGGCACAAACCGGGACCAAUACCCACCUUUGGUCCCGGUUCGUGCCACCAACCGAGACCAAUCCACACCUAUGGUCCCGGUUCUAGCCUCCAACCAGGACCAAAGGUCUCUGCUUCCCACCCUUUUGGCUACUAAAAACUGACCAUUGGUCCUGGUUUGUGUCAGGAACCGGGACUAAAGGUAGGUAUUGAUCCCGGUUUGUGCUACGAACUAGGACUAAAGGCUUUCUUAUAUAAGUGGCACUUAAGAUUUUUUCCCAUUCUCCCCCAAAGCCAAUGCCCCUGUGCCCGGAUGCCGCCUGGCUGAUCCUCGUCGCCGACGCCUCCCCGACCUCGAUGUCGCCUCCUCGACGCCUCCCCGCACCCCUGCCCUGCCCCGUGCCUCUGCCAGCCCCGACCUUGCCGUUGCUGCCCGCUCCUCGUUGCCGACGCGGUCCCAAGUGAGCACCCCGCCUUCCCCCCUGCCCCGCUGCCCGCUGCAAUUUUUUGUUCUUAUAAAUUUUAAGUAAAUGGAUAUGCAUGUAUGCAUAUUGUUCAUAUGGAUGUAUGUUGAUGUAUGUUGAUAUAUGGAUGUAUGCAUAAAUGGAUAUGUAUGCAUAUUGUUUUUAGUAAAUGGAUAUGUAUGCAUAAUUUUUCAUAAUUUUUCAUAAUUUUUUUGUUCAUAUAUAUGAUGAUUUUUUUUGUUCGUAGAUGAUCAUAUAUGAUGUUUUUUUGUUCAUACAUGAUCAUAUGAUGUUUUGAAAAGAUUAGAAUUGUUAUACAAAAAAUGGUGCAUACGAUCAUGAUUUGCUUCCAAAGAUAUAUACUUUGCUUCUAAAUUGUUGUCAGUGAACUGCUUCCACACGAACAUAUAUUUGUUUACAUGAAAAGGGAAAAAGAGUUAUAUUUUAAAUUUCAUGGGGAUAUAUUUGCAUAUGAUAUGUCCUAUGUUUUGUCGGAGUGUUGAUUCAUUUCCAUUCCGGCAAAUUUCAGGCGCUUGAUAUGUCCUAUUUUAGCAAGGGUCAUGCCGGAUUUUUCCGUGAAUUUAAGCAUGACUUGUGCUAGAAUAUGUAGAAAAUAUCGAGUGCCCCGGAUUUUCUAGAAAGAGAAUUAAAUGACAUUUCGAGUUGACUUUAAGUCUGUUGGGGCUCCAUACAUGACAGUCAAAAAAUCAAUGAGGGGAGAGUCUCCACCAUAUAUGAGAGAAGAAGAAUGCCGACUGUUGUCGUGGGGGUCGUUUUUCCUUCUUCUCCUUGUGUUAGACCUUUGUUAUGCACUAGGGGAAGGAGUAGUGACCAUCAUCAACGGUUGAAAAAUCGGUGAGGGAGUGUCCACCAUAUAUGAGAGAAGAAGAAUGCCGACUAUUGUUGUGGGGGGCGCUUCUCCUUCUUCUCUUUGUGCUAGACCUUUGUUAUGCACUACGGGAAGAAGGAGUAGCAACCAUCAUCGAUGGUCAAAAAAUCGGUGAGGGAGUGUCCACCAUAUAGGAGAGAAGAAGAAUGCUGACUGUUGUUGUGGCUGUCGCUUCUCCUUCUUUUCCUUGUGCUAGAUAUUUUUAAUGCACUAGGGAAAGGAGGAGUAACGACCAUCACUGACGGUCGCAAUAUCAGAGAGGGAGUGCCCACCAUAUACGUGAGAUAAGAGUUUAGGAAGGAAGACUUGAUAGACCUAAAGUCAACCCGUUGCAUAUUGAGUAAUAGUGAUCUAUGUGUUGAGUUUCCUGGUAGUUGCCCUCGACUGAUUUUCAAUGUUUCAAAUAUGAACAUAGGAAAUGUUUGACGACGAAAGAGAAUUUGUUAUGUGCGAAUACUGUGAAGAUGAGCGCGACCUGUGCGACAGGCCUCACCUAGUUGAUGGUAGGUGCUUCAGCAUCAUGCUGCAUGAGACAUUCGAAGUGGAUAUAGUAAGUCACAACGGCAACUCUUGUUUCGUAAUCAAGCAUGACUUCUGCUUCUUUUGCUUCAACUUAUAAUUUUAAUUUUUUUACAAUUCUACUAGCGUAUCUCCUGCCAUACAAGAAUGUAUGUCUUGGAUAAAAUUGGUUUCAGUACUAUGGGAAGUAUGGAGGUAAAGAGAGUUCACUUGAGGAUCGAGCAUGGUUCUACUUUUGCCGUAAAAUUAUACAAUGCAGACACCUACUCCUAUUUUGAAUGCAAAAAUUGGAGAGCAGUAUGCAAGGCCUAUGCAUUUGAGCCUAAUAUGCUUGUCACCUUUGAUAUUCGUCCGAAAGAUGAAAUUAAAGGUAAUAUCGAUAUCUAGGUCGAUGUGCAGACGCCUCCAGUUCUACCAUUAUGUGAGUUUCUCAACCAUAUUUAUUAAGUAAUUUAUAUUGAUUAUUUAAAAAUAGUUGACAACUAAUUUCUAUUGACAUCUUAUUUCCAUUCAAGCAAACAUGUCCUGCGCUUGGUAGACAACACCUACUACUAUCCCGGGGCUGGACUAAAUUGCGAGAAGAUUAGUCAUUAUGUUUCAUGACUUGAGGAUCUUGAUACUGUCAAGACAGGUUAUUUUUCUGGACUUCGAAAUAUUAGUACUACAAACGUGCGACCACUAGUCUGCGUAUUGAACUACGGUCACAUCUAUUUACGAAAGAUGGUAAGAUUUUUUCUUUUUGUCCUUAGUGCAUCUUUUGCAUACAUUAUUUUUUAAGCUAAACUUCCUUGCUAAGUAUGUUACAACGAUGUUCUUCAACAGGGACUCCUGAUGAAUGUUGUGCCUCGUUGGAUCGAGCCUGAAGGUCGCAUGACAAUGGUUAGCUUACUGCCAAGAUAUACUGCAUUGUACAUGAGUGCAUUCAUGAUUUCUUAAAGCGAGCAAGACUUAAUAGUCAAAGACUGGAGCAAAAUUGUGAACGAUCACAGCAGAGGAAUACUAGGGGGCAGCAAUCAGAAGCGCAGUCCACAAUUAGGAGAUGGGUUCAUCUGCAUUCUCCAAUAUGAUGGAGCGGGAGUGCUACACAUGUUUUAUGCUAUUUUACCUGAGAGAGAGCAGCAGGAGUGAUUAGCUAGAUAGAAUGAGUUUGAAGAUGUUGAUGUGCUACACUAUGACUAUGAUGAUUAAAUAGCUAGUGUUAGGUGGUAAUGACUAUGAUGAUUAUUAUUAGCUAGUGUUGGUGGUGAUUAGAUAGCUACACUAUGACUAUGAUGAUUAAAUAGUGUUGCCGGUAAUGACUAUGAUGAUUAUUUUGUAGUGUUGUUGGUGAUGAUAUGAUGCAAGAGUUUUUAUAUUAAUAUGAUGAUGAUGUUGAUCAUGAUUAUCAUGAUGAUUUGUAUAGUAGGUAGCAUCGACCAAGCACGGAGAAAGAGAUGUCACUUCUCUCUAUUAGCUAGCUAACACAAUAUGAAACCCCUAAAUUANNNNNNNNNNNNNNNNNNNNNNNNNNNNNNNNNNNNNNNNNNNNNNNNNNNNNNNNNNNNNNNNNNNNNNNNNNNNNNNNNNNNNNNNNNNNNNNNNNNNNNNNNNNNNNNNNNNNNNNNNNNNNNNNNNNNNNNNNNNNNNNNNNNNNNNNNNNNAAAAAACUCCAGCGCCUGCGAGCUGCUGAUGUGUGGCAGCCUUUUGGUCGCGGUUGGUGUUACCAACCGGGACUAAAGGUCCUCCUGCCGGGGCGCGCUGCAGCGGCCACGUGGAGCCCCUUUUGUCCCGGUUCGUAAGCGAACUGGGACUAAAGGUUUUGGGAUUUAGUCCCGACCCUUUAGUCCCGGUUUCAGAACCGGGACUAAAGACCCUCUCAAACCGGGAUUAAUGGGCUGUUUUCUACUAGUGUCCUAUGGGCUUUCUGAAUUUGCUUUCUUCCAAAGUAGGCCAAUUCCCAUUAUCCUACGUUGUAUGCAAGUUAGCGAUGUAAUCUUACAGUACAUGGUAAGUAUCUACAUGGGCAACUAAAAAAAUAUCUACACGUGAGGGACCAUACUUCUUUGCAUCCUAUCUAAGGAGGCAUCCAUGCAUAAUAUAAAUACUAGUGGUUGAGGCCCGCAGCUUGAGAGAAAGCUGUGCAUACCUCAUCUUCAUUUAAAAAUUAAGAAAUCCUUCUCACGUCACAUCAACAUCAUAUCCAUCUCAAAAAGAAAAAAAGAAAAUCUUCAUCUUAACAUUAAAAAAACAUUCUCACGUCACAUGAACAUCAUAUCCAUCUCAUAAAGAAAAAAGAAAGGAAAAAAGCUAUAAAAACUUUUCUCUAAAAAAUAAAAAUGUCUUACUUCCAUCUUCGAAAAAUUAUCUAAAAAAAUCAAAAAAAUUCUCACUGUGGCCAACCAGCAUGCGGCGCAUAGCUAGUUGGCCACCUUUCUACCGCACCUUAAUGUGUUUUGUACGUCCCCAAAGCUGAAAUUAUACAGUUGGCAAAAGACAAGAGUAAAGAUUUUCACGUGGAUGUCAUCUUUCUUCCAAGAAAAAUGAUUUCCAUGUGGGUGUUUUUUUUUGAGAAAAUUUUCAUUCAUAUCACGAAUCAGUACAACGAAGUUGAUCAUUACAAGUACACUGAAAUGCAAACACAAAGGAUCAUGAACACCUAGAGUAUCCUAAAACAAUCAUAACACAAGAAGAUCUCCGAAGCCCUGGGUCAUCAUCCCUAAAUCUUGAGAGAAGACCCCUGCAGCAGAAGGAUCUGCAACCAGUCGCAAGCAGGUCAUCAUCUUUGACCACGGUACAAUUGCCGCCACGCUGCUUCCUCCUUUCUUGACACUAGCGCUGAGAGGGCAUGGACAUCAAUCCAACACACCUGCAACAGCCGUCGCCAUCUUUGGCUUUGAGUACCGCGAAAAGUGUCCCUUCCGGAAGGAAGAGAACUCGAGUCAUUCGACCGGUCCAGCACCGCGGCCGGGCCAUCCGCCCGGACAAAGUAGGAUUUCCCACCAGCAUCAGCACAGAGCAAGGAGAAGAACAGCAGCAACAAAUCAUACCAACAAGGAAGAAGAAGGGUCUUCGUCUCCCUGUGGCUUGUUGUAAUCUGAACAUAUGGGCUGACAUGGUAUGAUGGUUGUAACCUGAUGUUGGUGGUUACAAAUCUUACCUCGUGCCUUUCUCUCCGAGAACCAAAUCCUACCUUAUUCUUUCCAAAGUAAUAUUAUGACGCUCCAUUUUUGAUUCACGGAACAUAGACCGGUUACAUUUUUCAGGCUGUAAUUUUACCCCACAUGCUUUUGUUUCUUAUAUUUUGAAUUGUGACCGUGUGAGAUGGCUGGUGUAAGGAAUAAGAAUUCCUUACAGAGGGUGACGAAUAGCGCGACCCUACAUGUAUAUAUAAGAUAUAAGACAUUGGUUCGAAGGAGUAAUCUAGUACUCACACUAACAAAGAAACAUAUAAGAGAUCAUAACAUAAGAUAUUCGUAGGUAGCGAUUACAUGUUAGUAGAUUGCUCCACUAAACUAUUUAGUACUUCCACUAGAAAUCGUGGAGCCCUUUAUUAGGAGGCGCCUAGUAAAAUCCCUACGAAUGAAGAGAAACACAAAUGAUGUGGAAUAUUGUGAAACAAAGAGACUAGAAGUGGUGUUGGGCUCCGAUUCUUGCUUGUUUGAAAUUGAAAUUUAGUGGUAUCCGCCUUUGCCGCCUCCGGAUCCGCUGCCUC
rnacentral:lncRNA from 1 species